rnacentral:sRNA from 1 species
GUUGUAGAUGAGCAUGAGAGUGUGGAGCAGAGUCGGCGAGCGCAAGCUGAGCCCAUCAACCUGGACAGCUGUCUCCGUUCUUUCACCAGUGACGAAGAGCUAGGGGAAAAUGAGAUGUACUACUGUUCCAAGUGUAAGACCCACUGCUUAGCAACAAAGAAGCUGGAUCUCUGGAGUCUUCCACCCUUUCUGAUUAUUCACCUUAAGCGAUUUCAAUUUGUAAAUGAUCAGUGGAUAAAAUCACAGAAAAUUGUCAAAUUUCCUCGGGAAAGUUUUGAUCCGAGUGCUUUUUUGGUACCACGAGACCCAGGUCUCUGCCAGCAUAAACCACUCACACCCCAGGGGGAUGAGCUCUCCAAGCCCAGGAUUCUGGCAA